rnacentral:rRNA from 1 species
UGAGGAAUUUUCCACAAUGGGCGAAAGCCUGAUGGAGCGACACCGCGUGUAUGAUGAAGUCUUUCGGGAUGUAAAAUACUGUCAGAGGGGACGAUAAUGACUGUACCCUCAAAGGAAGCCACGGCUAACUACGUGCCAGCAGCCGCGGUAAUACGUAGGUGGCGAGCGUUGUCCGGAAUUAUUGGGCGUAAAGCGUGCGUAGGUGGCAUUAUAAGUCAGAUGUUAAAUUUCCCGGCUCAACCGGGAUCCGCAUUUGAUACUGUUUUGCUAGAGAGAUUCAGAGGAAAGCGGAACUUGCGGUGUAGCGGUGAAAUGCGUAGAUAUCGCAAGGAACACCAGUGGCGAAGGCGGCUUUCUGGGAAUUUUCUGACACUGAGGCACGAAAGCUAGGGGAGCAAACGGG